rnacentral:rRNA from 1 species
AGUGAACGCUGGCGGUAGGCCUAACACAUGCAAGUCGAACGGCAGCACAGUAAGAGCUUGCUCUUACGGGUGGCGAGUGGCGGACGGGUGAGGAAUACAUCGGAAUCUACUUUUUCGUGGGGGGUAACGUAGGGAAACUUACGCUAAUACCGCAUACGACCUACGGGUGAAAGCAGGGGAUCUUCGGACCUUGCGCGAUUGAAUGAGCCGAUGUCGGAGUAGCUAGUUGGCGGGGUAAAGGCCCACCAAGGCGACGAUCCGUAGCUGGUCUGAGAGGAUGAUCAGCCACACUGGAACUGAGACACGGUCCAGACUCCUACGGGAGGCAGCAGUGGGGAAUAUUGGACAAUGGGCGCAAGCCUGAUCCAGCCAUACCGCGUGGGUGAAGAAGGCCUUCGGGUUGUAAAGCCCUUUUGUUGGGAAAGAAAAGCAGCAGGUUAAUACCCCGCUGCUCUGACGGUACCCAAAGAAUAAGCACCGGCUAACUUCGUG